UACGUAGGGGGCGAGCGUUGUCCGGAUUUAUUGGGCGUAAAAGGCUUGUAGGUGGCCACGCCAAGUCGGACGUGAAAUAUCCCGGCUUAACCGGGAGGGGUCGUUCGAUACUGGCGGGCUCGAGGCCGGUAGGGGGAAGCGGAAUUCCCGGUGUAGUGGUGGAAUGCGUAGAUAUCGGGAGGAACACCAGUGGCGAAGGCGGCUUCCUGGACCGGUUCUGACACUGAGGAGCGAAAGCGUGGGGAGCAAACAGG
rnacentral:rRNA from 1 species